GGAUAUCUAUAAGGACUUCUUGGCUCGUUUCCAGUCUUUAACCAGACCUUUGAUCUGUCCUGGAUAAAUAACCUCAAAAAGAAAAGAAAGAGAGGAUUAAGAACAAAUAUGAAGUUCUACUAGUCUGCUUCAAUAAAUGGAAUGACUGUUACACUUCUUUGUAUGAAUUAGUUCUUCAAGCAAGACAGAGGAAAGCAACAAGUGACCUGCGGAUCACACAUAUCUCCAACUGCUUCUUUUGUAGACCACUACCAAAUUUAGAGGUAAAACACUUCCACCAAA